GGACAGAUGGCCGAGCGGUCUAAGGCGCUAGCUUCAGGUGCUAGUAGAGUAAUCUGCGUGGGUUCGAAUCCCACUCUGUUCA
rnacentral:tRNA from 1 species